rnacentral:rRNA from 1 species
GACGAACGCUGGCGCCGCUCCCAACACAUGCAAGUCGAACGAGCGAGAGAGAGCUUGCCUUCUCAAGCGAGUGGCGAACGGGUGAGUAACGCGUGAGGAACCUGCCUCAAAGAGGGGGACAACAGUUGGAAACGACUGCUAAUACCGCAUAAGCCCACAGGUCGGCAUCGACCAGAGGGAAAAGGAGCAAUCCGCUUUGAGAUGGCCUCGCGUCCGAUUAGCUAGUUGGUGAGGUAACGGCCCACCAAGGCGACGAUCGGUAGCCGGACUGAGAGGUUGAACGGCCACAUUGGGACUGAGACACGGCCCAGACUCCUACGGGAGGCAGCAGUGGGGAAUAUUGCACAAUGAGGGAAACCCUGAUGCAGCGACGCCGCGUGGAGGAAAAAGGUCUUCGGAUUGUAAACUCCUGUUGUUGAGGAAGAUAAUGACGGUACUCAACAAGGAAGUGACGGCUAACUACGUGCCAGCAGCCGCGGUAAAACGUAGGUCACAAGCGUUGUCCGGAAUUACUGGGUGUAAAGGGAGCGCAGGCGGGAAGACAAGUUGGAAGUGAAAUCUAUGGGCUCAACCCAUAAACUGCUAUCAAAACUGUUUUUCUUGAGUAGUGCAGAGGUAGGCGGAAUUCCCGGUGUAGCGGUGGAAUGCGUAGAUAUCGGGAGGAACACCAGUGGCGAAGGCGGCCUACUGGGCACCAACUGACGCUGAGGCUCGAAAGUGUGGGUAGCANACAGG